rnacentral:tRNA from 1 species
UUUAAUAUGGUGUACAGCAUUCUGCAUUUUGGUUGCAGCGGGGGUUUGUAACCUGUUAAAU